CGCCUGGGGAGUACGGCCGCAAGGUUAAAACUCAAAUGAAUUGACGGGGGCCCGCACUAGCGGUGGAGCAUGUGGUUUAAUUCGACGCAACGCGAAGAACCUUACCUGGCCUUGACAUCCAGAGGACUUUCCAGAGAUGGAUUGGUGCCUUCGGGAACUCUGAGACAGGUGCUGCAUGGCCGUCGUCAGCUCGUGUCGUGAGAUGUUGGGUUAAGUCCCGUAACGAGCGCAACCCCUAUCCCUGGUUGCUAGCAGGUAAUGCUGAGAACUCCAGGGAGACUGCCGGUGACAAACCGGAGGAAGGUGGGGAUGACGUCAGGUCAUCAUGGCCCUUACGGCCAGGGCUACACACGUGCUACAAUGGCGCGUACAGAGGGCUGCCAACUCGCGAGAGUGAGCCAAUCCCUUAAAACGCGUCGUAGUCCGGAUCGGAGUCUGCAACUCGACUCCGUGAAGUCGGAAUCGCUAGUAAUCGCGAAUCAGAAUGUCGCGGUGAAUACGUUCCCGGGCCUUGUACACACCGCCCGUCACACCAUGGGAGUGGAUUGCACCAGAAGUAGUUAGUCUAACCUUCGGGAGGACGAUUACCACGGUGUGGUUCAUGACCGGGGUGAAGUCGUAACAAGGUAACCGUA
rnacentral:rRNA from 1 species